ACUGUGGCUCAGCUGGUAGAGCAGCUGAUUCGUAAUCAGCAGGUCGCCGGUUCAAAUCCGGCCAGU
rnacentral:tRNA from 1 species